rnacentral:lncRNA from 1 species
AUGGCAGAGGGUUUUACUGCUGACGAAGUUUUCCAAGCUGGAGAACAUCUGUUGCUUGUGCCACCAAUCAAGCCUAGCUCGUGUUCUAAGAACAAACGAGCUUUUGGAAAUGGUUGGCUGGCAAGAAGAAUUGUAGACGCAGUGGCAGGACAAACUGUGAGCAAGUGUAAACCAUGGAAAGGACCACUGCCUAGUGCCAGGUGUUCGCAACCUUUAACCAUUGGUGAUAAACUAGCCGAAGCCCUCGCUGCGAUGCCCAGACUCCAAGCUCGGCCAGGUUCGAGCAAUUGGGCUGCAGGAAAAAGAACGGUGAAAGAAGUAGAGUUGAACUUGGGAUCAGAGAGCUACGAAGUGCAGAGGAGAGAGAAGCUGAACAGGUUACGGGGAGAGAACCAGGGCGAAGGUGCGAUCUGGGCGAAGCCAUGGCGCAGCAUGGUGGCUGGGGUUGGGAGAGAGGGUGAUGAGUCACAGUGGGAGGAUGAUGAGAGUUUCUUUCAUGGGAGGAGAGAAGGUGAUGAGCGGCUCCGUUUCCAGCCGGGCGUAGGGUUUGGGCAGGGGAGUGGAGGAAGAAGCCGGCCGCCGUAUGGCUUCAGGUCAAGAGGGACCGGCGGGUUCAGAGCUCGGAGGGGUGGCUUUGCCGGAAGAUCAGGGCGCAAUCCGUAUGGUGCGCGCUUCCCUCGCGGCGGCGGCCGGCAUCAACAAGGCAGUUUCAAGCGUAACUUUGAUGCACUAGCGACGGGAAAAGGUGAAGGCAGUUGUAGAGUGACUGGCAGCGGAGAGAAAGGGAAGAAACAACAUGGCAUGGAACCAGGAAAGGAGGUAGGAGGAAGCAAAGGGGCUGGGCAGAUUAAGAUCGGUAAGGUUGAGGUUCCGGUGAACUCGGAGGCAAAGAAAGGAAAGAAAUCAGUUUCUGAGAAUGACGAAGAGGAAGAAUUGAUGGAGUUUGAAGGUGCUCAGCGGGAGUUUGGGGACAGAAAGGGAGAGGAUCCAAAAGGAAGUGCAAAGGUGAAGAUAUGCUCUAGGUGCACUCAGAAAGGGUAUGACUAUGCAGAUUGCAUGAUAGAUGUUUAUUGCGAUGUUUGCGAUUCAACCGAGCACGUUAUUCAUAAGUGCCCGGUUCUGAAAAUUCCAAAACCGGCGGUUCAAGCAGUGGGUUAUGCGGUUGAUGGCCUAGGGUUUCAUCACAUACCACAUCAACCACUACAAAGGAGCAAGAAGGGCACAAAGAAGGCACUUGUACGAGUUGUUGGUGGCUCUCUUUCUGUUGAAAGGUUAGUUGCUCUUUUACAAAAGCUGUGUCCAGCCAAAUGGAAAUGGGAACCAGUGCCACACGGGAAGGAAGCUUUUGUCGUUCUUUUCCCUUCGAAGGAAAACUCGGAAAGGAAGGAAAAUGAGGUGCAGGAAAGUGGGGAUCAAGGGAGAGAAGAUGUUAUUUUGGAGAUGGCUGAAAAUGUGUUGGAUGUGGCUGUUGAGAGAGUGCUAGGGGAGGUGUAUGAGAGGGUGGAGAGGGAAGAAGAGAAGAUAGAUGGAGCAGUUAUGCAGCAGGAAAAGGUUGAACAACUAGCUAACAUACAAGAGGUGUUGGUGACACCGAAAAGAGCGAGUGAGAGGUUGAUGGGCAGCAGUGGGAGGCACUCGCUUGAAAAGGCGAAAUCGAGGAAGGCUUGGAUGAAUCUCGAUCUUCUUUCA